AACUGGGAAAAAGAACUCAAAUGCAACUCACAAAGCAACAGCUUAUUUACACCUUAAACUCCAGCAGAGAACAGUUCAGCUGAAAAGUUGACACGACCAAGGAAGGAAGCCGAGUUGUGGUGAUUUUUGCCCUUCAUCUACAGUUCCUUUGAAGAGGAAAGACUUUUAAACGGCCCUGCUAGCAUGAUAAAUUUACUGAGCACCAUGAAGUCAGGAGUAGGAUUACUAAUUUUCCUUCUCAGUCAUGAUGCCUCAACGGCUCCAAUAAACAUUGCUUCAGCAUCGACAGAGAAUGCAAGUCCUCAAACAGGCAUUUACCUUGACAUUGGCAUCAUCACUGCUGUUGUCAUUGUGGCUGUGAUUGUCUUUGCCUUGAUAGGAAUGUCUGACCAUGAAAAGGAUGACGAACGUGUCAAGUUAAAUAAAGGUACGACUUCAAGCCAGGAAACACGCUGUACAAAAUGUUGCACCAAAUAUUCUGAAUGUUGUUGCAGUCUUUUAUCCUGUUGUUGUUCAGGUUGUGCUGAAUCGCUUACCAAAGCUUGUGACAUAUGCUGCAUGUCUCUAGGUUAUGGAUGUAUGGUACCUUUAUAAAGUAUCCUUUGAAUAUUCUAUACAUCAUUUUUACUGUUAUACAGCUAUCCAUGCUCAUGAAAGUAUCUGAAUAUGUUUUGAUAUAACCUUUCUACUCAGUAAACAGACAGCAUUGUUUUACAGUGCAAGCUGCUUCCCUUCAUCCACAUGGACUCAGAAAUUACGUGCUAUUGUUUACACUCUGCAAGCCUUUGGAGCAUAGUUACCGAUGGAAAAAUAUGUUAUGCAAUGUACUAAUUAGUGUGAGCAGUGUGACAGUCAAGAGCACACUUAUAACUGUUCUUUUGAGAAGCCUGUAGAAAGAAAAGUGUUAUUGUGUGACAGUUUUACAGCAAAGGAGGGUGAGAAUGAUACAAUGUAAUAAAAAGCUCAUUGGGAACUUCCCCUUUUGAGCACUUGCAUUUGACGUACUAGAGUCUGGGACUCCUUAAAAAGAAAGACGUUCUCCAAAAAAGCAGUUUGAGGAUGUAGAGGUGACUGGGAGAGUGAUGAGCUCCAUAAACCAGAGGAGCGAAUUGUGGGAGUCCGGGACUCCGACUUUUCUAGUCCGGGAUUAGAGGGCAGCUUGUACAUGUUAAAAGCAAAAGUAAUAAUAAUAAAUUGUUGUUGUUGGGCAAAUAGGUUUUCCGACAGAAGCUAGAUGCAAGGAAAUGCAAAAACCUAGUAAACCAAAUACGAACUAAGGAAUUAUGCAAAUCAAAGGAUAAAAGGAAUUUAUGGUAGAGAAAGGGACAGUGAAGACUACUUUAACUGCAGUUGUCACGCACAUUGGGCACAAGCUUCCUUAGGAAAGAACAAAAGAGGGGGAAGUAAAGCUGGCAAAGAAGGGAGGAAGACUUUCUUAUAUGACCAGGGACUGUUAGCGGAUGCAGGAGGGGAGAAAAAAGAUGAUCUGCUGAGCCAAUUUGAAAGACAUUUUACACAUGGAGGAUAAUAUACCACAUGUGACCCUAAAAAUUGGGGAAAAGACAUAAUAUUACUCUGUGAUUGUGGACUCACACGGGCAGUAAUCUAAAUGCUAUCUAAUGUUGUCUAAAGAAAUGGGUAAAAAAACCUGUGAAAAUGGAAAAUAGGGAGUCUGGAGAAACAAACUGUGAGUGCUGGAGUCUGUUGCUCAUCCUUAGGCCCUGUAAAUUUGCAGGGGAGAAAUUUAAUGACUAAACUAGGAAUAGAACCAGUAAAAAUAAUCCCCUAAACAUUUUAAAGCCCUCACUGAAGACAGCACCCACUAAAAAAAAAGAAAAGAAAAGAAAGGGUGAGCCGAGAUGUAUCUAAAUUCCACACAUGGAACCAAAUAAUCAUGAGCUGGAGAACAAAGAGUAUGAUGUAACAGCAGUAGCUGAAGUGAAAAGCAUUUAGGAUGAGCAUAUCGAAAAUCCUAACCAGAAGAGAUGUGUUACUGAAUGUUUUUGUUGAUAAACACAGCCUUAAUUAUGUGUAUGUAAAUGUGUAUAUUCUUUAAAUUGUUUUGUGUGUUGUGUCAUGUUAUAAUUUGGGGCAUAACUGGAUAAACAGGAGGGAAAUGAUGGAAAAAAUAUGUUACGCAAUGUACUAAUUAGUGUGAGUUGUAUGAUAGUCAAGGGCACACUCAGUACACUUAAUGCAAGCAUGCCUGGUUACCAAAAAAAGUAUUACAGUAUCUGCUUAUUAAACGAC
ensembl:lncRNA